AGACCCGAAACCCGGUGAUCUAGCCAUGGGCAGGUUGAAGGUUGGGUAACACUAACUGGAGGACCGAACCGACUAAUGUUGAAAAAUUAGCGGAUGACCUGUGGCUGGGGGUGAAAGGCCAAUCAAACCGGGAGAUAGCUGGUUCUCCCCGAAAGCUAUUUAGGUAGCGCCUCGUGAAUUCAUCUCCGGGGGUAGAGCACUGUUUCGGCUAGGGGGCCAUCCCGGCUUACCAACCCGAUGCAAACUGCGAAUACCGGAGAAUGUUAUCACGGGAGACACACGGCGGGUGCUAACGUCCGUCGUGAAGAGGGAAACAACCCAGACCGCCAGCUAAGGUCCCAAAGUCAUGGUUAAGUGGGAAACGAUGUGGGAAGGCCCAGACAGCCAGGAUGUUGGCUUAGAAGCAGCCAUCAUUUAAAGAAAGCGUAAUAGCUCACUGGUCGAGUCGGCCUGCGCGGAAGAUGUAACGGGGCUAAACCAUGCACCGAAGCUGCGGCAGCGACGCUUAUGCGUUGUUGGGUAGGGGAGCGUUCUGUAAGCCUGUGAAGGUGUGUCGUGAGGCAUGCUGGAGGUAUCAGAAGUGCGAAUGCUGACAUAAGUAACGAUAAAGCGGGUGAAAAGCCCGCUCGCCGGAAGACCAAGGGUUCCUGUCCAACGUUAAUCGGGGCAGGGUGAGUCGACCCCUAAGGCGAGGCCGAAAGGCGUAGUCGAUGGGAAACGGGUUAAUAUUCCCGUACUUGGUGUUACUGCGAAGGGGGGACGGAGAAGGCUAUGUUGGCCGGGCGACGGUU
rnacentral:rRNA from 4 species